rnacentral:rRNA from 1 species
UACGUAGGGUGCAGGCGUUAAUCGGAAUUACUGGGCGUAAAGCGUGCGCAGGCGGUUUGCUAAGACAGGUGUGAAAUCCCCGGGCUUAACCUGGGAACUGCGCUUGUAACUGGCAAGCUUGAGUGUGGCAGAGGGGGGUGGAAUUCCACGUGUAGCAGUGAAAUGCGUAGAGAUGUGGAGGAACACUGAUGGCGAAGGCAGCCCCCUGGGCUAACACUGACGCUCAUGCACGAAAGCGUGGGGAGCAAACAGG